GACGAACGCUGGCGGCGUGCUUAACACAUGCAAGUCGAGCGGUAAGGCCCUUUCGGGGGUACACGAGCGGCGAACGGGUGAGUAACACGUGGGUGACCUGCCCUCAGCUCUGGGAUAAGCCUGGGAAACUGGGUCUAAUACUGGAUAUGACUCCACGGUGCAUGUCGUGGGGUGGAAAGCCUUGUGCGGCUGAGGAUGGGCCCGCGGCCUAUCAGCUUGUUGGUGGGGGAUGGCCUACCAAGGCGACGACGGGUAGCCGGCCUGAGAGGGCGACCGGCCACACUGGGACUGAGACACGGCCCAGACUCCUACGGGAGGGCAGCAGUGGGGAAUCUUGCGCAAUGGGCGAAAGCCUGACGCAGCGACGCCGCGUGAGGGAUGACGGCCUGG
rnacentral:rRNA from 1 species